rnacentral:rRNA from 1 species
AGUGAACGCUGGCGGCAUGCCUAACACAUGCAAGUCGAACGGCAGCACAGUAAGAGCUUGCUCUUACGGGUGGCGACUGGCGGGUGGGUGAGGAAUACAUCGCCAUCUACUUUUUCGUGGGGGAUAACGUAGGGAAAUUUUCGCUAAUACCGCAUACGACCUACGGGUGAAAGCAGGGGAUCUUCGGACCUUUCGCGUUUGAUUGAGCCGAUGUCGGAUUAGCUAGUUGGGAGGGUAAAGGCCCACCAAGGCGACGAACCGUAGCUGGUCUGAGAGGAUGAUCGGCCACACUGGAACUGAGACACGGUCCAGACGCCUAAGGGAGGCAGCAGUGGGGAAUGUUGGGCAAUGGGCGGAAGCCUGACCGAGCAAUACAGCGUGGGUGAAGAAGGCCUUCGGGUAGUAAAGCCCGUUUGUUGGGGAAGAAAAGCUGUAGGUUAAGAAGCGGCGGUAGUGACGGUACCUAAAGAAUAAGCACCGGCUAACUACGUG